rnacentral:lncRNA from 10 species
CCGCCUCCUGGAUUCAAGCGAGGCGACCUGCGACUCCUUGACUUUGACAAUCGAGUAGUACUCCCGGUUGAAGCCCCCAUUCGUAUAAUAAUUACAUCACAAGACGUCUUACACUCAUGAGCUGUCCCCACAUUAGGCUUAAAAACAGAUGCAAUUCCCGGACGUCUAAACCAAACCACUUUCACUGCUACACGACCAGGGGUAUACUACGGCCAUUCUUCUGCC